rnacentral:pre_miRNA from 1 species
CUUGUACUCCCUCCGUCCGGAAAUACUUGUCGCAAAAAUGGAUAAAAGUGGAUGUAUCUAGAACUAAAAUACGUCUAGAUACAUCCAUUUCUUUGACAAGUAUUUCCGAACGGAGGGAGUAUUUA